AUACGUAGGGGGCGAGCGUUGUCCGGAAUGAUUGGGCGUAAAGGGCGCGUAGGCGGCCCGGUAAGUCUGGAGUGAAAGUCCUGUUUUUAAGAUGGGAAUUGCUUUGGAUACUGUCGGGCUUGAGUGCAGGAGAGGUAAGUGGAAUUCCCAGUGUAGCGGUGAAAUGCGUAGAGAUUGGGAGGAACACCAGUGGCGAAGGCGACUUACUGGGCUGUAACUGACGCUGAGGCGCGAAAGUGUGGGGAGCAAACAGGAUUAGAUACCCUGGUAGUCCACACUGUAAACGAUGAAUGCUAGGUGUAGGGGGUAUCGACCCCUUCUGUGCCGCAGUCAACACAAUAAGCAUUCCGCCUGGGGAGUACGGCCGCAAGGUUGAAACUCAAAUGAAUUGGCGGG
rnacentral:rRNA from 1 species